AGUCUUUCUUGGUUGAAGGAGCUUGAGUCGAACUCGACAAAAGACAAAGUUUGGAAUUUUGUCAAAAGCAAUUGGAAAAUCAUAAAGGAAAGGUUCGAGAAUGCUCCAAUGCUGGAUGAACUUUUGAAGAGCAUCGUAAGAAACUUUCAAACAGAUGACAAGCUGACUGAGGUUAAAGAACUUAUCGGGUCAAUCGACGACAAGGAUUUGUUGAAAGAAGUACUAAAAGAUAGC